rnacentral:rRNA from 1 species
GGAUUAGAUACCCUGGUAGUCCACGCCGUAAACGAUGUCGACUUGGAGGUUGUGCCCUUGAGGCGUGGCUUCCGGAGCUAACGCGUUAAGUCGACCGCCUGGGGAGUACGGCCGCAAGGUUAAAACUCAAAUGAAUUGACGGGGGCCCGCACAAGCGGUGGAGCAUGUGGUUUAAUUCGAUGCAACGCGAAGAACCUUACCUGGUCUUGACAUCCACAGAACUUUCCAGAGAUGGAUUGGUGCCUUCGGGAACUGUGAGACAGGUGCUGCAUGGCUGUCGUCAGCUCGUGCUG